rnacentral:rRNA from 1 species
UGGGGAAUUUUGCGCAAUGGGCGAAAGCCUGACGCAGCAACGCCGCGUGGAGGAUGAAGGCCUUCGGGUCGUAAACUCCUGUCAGGGGGGACGAAACCGGGAAACCGGGUGACUGUACCCCCGGAGGAAGCCACGGCUAACUCCGUGCCAGCAGCCGCGGUAAUACGGAGGUGGCAAGCGUUGUUCGGAAUUACUGGGCGUAAAGGGCGCGUAGGCGGCAGGGCAAGUCAGGUGUGAAAGCCCCGGGCUCAACUCGGGAACUGCAUCUGAAACUGCUUUGCUUGAGUCCUGGAGGGGGUAGUGGAAUUCCCAGUGUAGCGGUGAAAUGCGUAGAUAUUGGGAGGAACACCGGUGGCGAAGGCGGCUACCUGGACAGUGACUGACGCUGAUGCGCGAAAGCUAGGGGAGCGAACGGGAUUAGAUACCCCCGUAGUCC